rnacentral:rRNA from 1 species
UACAGAGGGUGCGAGCGUUAAUCGGAAUUACUGGGCGUAAAGCGCACGUAGGUGGCGACGUAAGUCGGGUGUGAAAGCCCCCGGGCUCAACCUGGGAAUUGCAUUCGAGACUGCAUUGCUGGAGUACGGAAGAGGAAGGCGGAAUUCCCGGUGUAGCGGUGAAAUGCGUAGAUAUCGGGAGGAACAUCAGUGGCGAAGGCGGCCACCUGGGCCGACCCUGACGCUGAGGCGCGAAGGCGUGGGGAGCGAACGGG